UUUUGGGAAAUUUUGCAAAAAAAAUUAAAUUGUUUUAUUUUAAUGCCAAUGGGUUGCAAUGAGUUUCUUUUCACUCUAAUAAUGCUUGAAAUAAAAAAAAGAGUGAAAAAUAACAAAAAAUCUAAAAAUUCUAAAAUUUUGAAAAAUUUCAGAGAACACGAGCUUCCGCCAAUUUCCACCAUGAUAUGCUUGGCGCUAGCAUCGGCGACAGCACGAACUGUCAGUGCUGUCAUCAAUGUCAAGCCAUUUUUCUCCAAGGGACGCGCUGGAUGGUUGUUAGCGUAAUAUUUCUACUGUUUUUCCGAUAACUACAACGUUUGCAGCAUGGAUUAACAAAACCAUGCCAGUGACAAAAACCGGCGGUGCAGGCGAGAGCAAGUGGUACCGGCGUGAACAAUUGUGCCAGCAAGCGCUGGAAAAGAUCGAUCUGAACCAGGAUAAAACGAUGCAGCAUCUGACCUACAGUUAUGGCAAAAAUCAUCAAGCCAAUUUGGCACAUCGUGCCGCGAAACAAGCGAAGGAAGCACCGUGAGUUGUACGACCGGAAAAACCACGCAUCGAGCCGAAAAAGUUCACCAAGAUCGAUCGCCCCGGUUAUCAGGUGACGUAGCAGCACGAUCCGGAGAAUGGCCAACAGUCCUUGUCUUCCAAAGCGACUAUCCGGAAUUUACGGACGGUAUUGUACCGCGGCAUCGCUUUAUGUUCGUUUACGUACCACCAUCGAGAAGAUCGACCACCAAUCAAACAAGAGAAGACGAGCUUCCGCCAAUUUCCACCAUGAAACGCAUGGCGCUAGCAUCGGCGACAGCACGAACUGUCAGUGCUGUCAUCAAUGUCAAGCCAUUUUUCUCCAAGGGACGCGCUGGAUGGUUGUUAGCGUAAUAUUUCUACUGUUUUUCCGAUAACUACAACGUUUGCAUGGAUUACCCAAACCAUGUCGGUGGCAACACCGACGGCGCAGGCGUGAGCAAGUGGUACCGGCGUGAACGAUUGCACCAGCCAGCGCUGGAAAAGAUUGAUCUAAACAAGGAUAAAACGCUGCAGCAUCUGACCCACAGUUAUGGCAAAAAUCAUCAAGCCAAUUUGGCACAACGUGCCGCGAAACAAGCGAAGGAAGCACCGUGAGUUGUACGACCGGAAAAACCACGCAUCGAGCCGAAAAAGUUCACCAAGAUCGAUCGCCCCGGUUAUCAGGUGACGAAGCAGCACGAUCGGGAGAAUGGCCAACAGGCCUUGUCUUCCAAGGCGACUAUCCGGAAAUUACGGACGGUAUUGUACCGCGGCAUCGCUUUAUGUUCGUUUACGAACCACCAUCGAGAAGAUCGACCACCAAUCAAACAAGAGAAUACGAGCUUCCGCCAAUUUCCACCAUGAUUCGCAUGGCGCUAGCAUCGGCGACAGCACGAACUGUCAGUGCUGUCAUCAAUGUCAAGCCAUUUUCUCCAAGGGACGCGGUGGAUGGUUGUUGGCGAAGCAUUUCUACUGUUUUUUCGAUAAUUACAACGUUUGCAGCAUGGAUUACCAAAACCAUGCCAGUGACAAAAAACCGACGGUGCAGGCGAGAGCAAGUGGUACCGGCGUGAACAAUUGCACCAGCUAGCGCCGGAAAGGAUCGAUCUGAACAAGGAUAUCUACUAAGAUCCAACGAGGGCAUCAUCUGUCCCACCCGCGAGGUGAAAAGCAUCAGGUCAAUCUGGCUCAUCGUGCCGUGAAAGAAACAAAGGAAGCACCGUCGUUGAUAUAACUGAGAAAGAAACGAAUCGAUCCGAAAAAGUGUGUUAAGAUCGGUACCGCGGCAUCGGUUUAUUUCCGCUUACGAACAAAAGAUCGCAACUGGUCCGUGCCACUGAAAGAAAAACACAAAACGAUUUUUCCUACAGUUUUCCUUAACGCCGGAAGCGAAGAAAAUUCCGCCCCCGAAUGAGCACCGUAAGCUGAUAUUUAAUCCGGUUCCGCCACCGCCGACAUAUAUAAAGCGAGUGCAGAUUGAUUUAGGUCCGGAUGUGGAUGUAAAACUCAUGUAAAAUCAUAAUUUUCAAUAAUAAAAUGGUUGUAUGUGUGAAAAUUUAUUUAUUGAAAUAAUAA